GUUAAGGCCUUUGAUUUGGGAUUUCCAGGCCUAGGCCCUAGCUAGCGUUGCUACUUGUCAAAAAGAAAAGGACAAUGUUAGUGCUGUUUUCAUAUGUUGUUUCUGUUUGUGGAUUUUGCUGCUGGAAAGGGACAGCUGAAUGGGCUGAUUCAUCGCUGGAAUCUUGACAGUAAGAACAAACCACAGGUUCCCCUGUUGCAAGUUACUGCUUUAGCUUGUGUAACUGUUUGUCUCUAUCCUUCUUAUGAAUGUUUCUUUGGUGAGAUGAGAAAGAAAAAUGUUUCUAUCACUAGAGCCCCAGCUGUGCUCACCCAUGACUCACGUUCCAGAAAUCUAACACCGAUAAAAUAAUCUACAUUUGUGUUUCCUUUCUGCUUUUUAUACGUGGCUUACCGUCAUGUUUUAGCCAUUUUUCAACCUUUAUAUCCAUGUUUU